UCUGGUCUCUAAAUAUUUUUAAAUAAGGACUGAAAACAAGUUGGACACAGACCUACAAAGGCUGCCUGGUGUACCUGUACCUGUGGGUCACCAAACUGUGAGCAUCCUCAGACCAGGAGAAAAAGGGAAACUUACCAGUUAUGUGCCACAGUGUUCUUGUCCCCUAAGAGAAGCAUAAUUGUUCCUGACAGUGACAGAUUUCUCCCAGGGAACCACAUUUGCUUAAACAGCAGUUUGCAAAACCACGGAGUCCCCAGCAACUCUGAAGCAUAGCAGAGGUCUUCUCUGCAUUGCUUCCUACCCCGGCCUUUGUUGUAAGUGGACGGCAUAAUGCACUAGCAACCAGGUGCGCCUCCCCCAAAGCUCACCUAAUCCAAGGAUGGAUUUUAAGCUGCCCUGACCACUUAUUCGUCUGCUUUGAAAUAGCAGUAUAUAGAAAGCCCACUUUUAGAACUUCAGACUUACAGUCAGAGAAUAUAAGAACUUCUUCCCAUUGUAUAGAGCAACAAUAGAUGUCAAAAGAGAGAAUCCAAAACUAAUAAUAACAAUAACUGGCCCCAAAAACUAGAUAAGCAUCACAGUGGACCAGGACUAGAAGAAAGACAGUAAGUGAUAAGCAAGGCUGAAGCCAUAUCUUCCACUUCCCUGCAGAACCGCGGCAGUUGGGAAGGGAGUCCUGCAUAGUCACAAGGCCUCAAAUUGUGUCACUGGAGAAAGACAUGAAUGAAGCCCCUCUGAGGAAGGCCUUAGCCUCUCCAGGACAACACAGGCCUAAGAAGUUAGGAAUAAGAAAAGGAAAAAGCUUAACAGUGAUAAACCCUAAUACUUUACUGGACGAGCCCUUCAGAUAGCCUUCUUGGAGUUUGCUGAAUUAUGGCUCUAAGGGCCAGGCUCUCUCCACUCCUGGUAGGGAGAGCUCCUGGCUUCUAUCGGAAAGUCAUAAGCAUCCCUAGUUUUCCCCUGUUCCUUAAGAGCUUCGUAACCCCGCCUUCCCAGACACCGUAACUCCUUGGAGCCAGAGCAGGAGCUCUCCACGUUUGCCCUUAGAUGCUUCAAGAUGUCGUGGUCUCAGAAGACAUCAUGGGGAAAUGGGAGAGUCCAUUCUGUAUACAGCUCUCUUACAAAGAGUGGGGACCACAGUGGGUGAACAUGCCCCUGGGGCUGAGGAGCACUGUUACCAUUCAGGCCCAGGAAGGCAGAUAGAGGAGUCAGAGAAGGUAAACAGGCACGCGGCAGGCUCAAGGUAGAGCCUGGCUUCGUCGUCCCCAGGUGUGAAAGAAAAAGGGAAGGACGCAAAAAUAAGACAUCAGGGAAUCUUAGCUGUGUGCGUACCUGGUUCACAACUUGUAGUCCCUCGCCACUCCCAGGUGUGGUCCCUGGACCAGCAGCAGUGGCAUCACCCGGGAGCUCUCCAGAAAUGCAGAACCCCAGGGUCCACCCCGGACCCGCUGAAUCAGCGUCUGCACUUUCACCAAAUCCCCAGGUGAUUCACAAACACGUUAAAAAUGUGAGCACUGUUGAAGUCCACUUCUGUCGCUCCCUAGGUCUGGGUUGCUCUGGACUGUUGACUAGACUCUUCCGAAUUGUCGGGGAGAACAGACUAGGAAUAGAGCACAGACUAGGAAUUCAAAUGCAAGACACUGUCAUUUAUAAGAACAUCACUGCAGGGAAGAAUUAAAGGGCUCACCGAUCAGCAACUGAACACCAGCUCGGUAAAGUUUAUGGCAGGAGGAAGAAAUCAGUGCCUCCACGUAAGACAGAACUAUACAUCAGCAGUUGGAGAAAGGAAAAUGCUCCAAAAAUAAUGGAUCCUAAAUGCUUUUCUGGGCAAACACUGUGACCCCUUUCAGGUAGCCUUUUGAAUCUCAUGACCACAAGAUCGACCUCUCCCUCCACUGCUGGGCACCACACGUUCUCUUCCCCUUCCCUGCUGGCCCUAGGAUGGUAGCUUCGACCACAUUGCUCAAAGUUCUGUUUCCAGUUUUCAUCUCUUCCGUUAUUCCGCAGCAUUUGCUUUCCCGACGAUGGGGUCUUUACCAGAAGGUAAACAGAAACCACUCUAGAUAUUCCAGCAGAGGGGAUCUGAGAACAGAAAAUUGGCUACAGACACAAUGUAGGGGCCAACACAUCAAACACGGGACAGUGAGGCAACCCAGAGAACAGAAAUAGCAGAAAGCCACUACCCACCCCCAAGGAGAUGGGGUGACCUCAGUCUAGAGCCAGGGUCACCUGGUGGAAAGAGGAACCUCCCAGAUUGGUCCCAUGGGAGAUGGGUUUUCCACGGGGAAAACCACUGAUGCUGGGGACCCUGGCAGAGCUAGAGAGGGGAGCCCCCUGGCUUCUCCACCCCUCUGGCCUCUGCCAUCCCCUGGACCUAUCUUGUUGGUAGCCAACCAGGAGAGGAGCCUCAAAGAGCCUCCUUAGAGGGGAAGAGGCAGGGGGUGUGAAUAGGGCCGAGUCAGUCGCUGUCCUUUCUGAAGUUCUUCCCUUGAGUUCUGUCAAAAGUUGUGAUCUGUUUCCGUUUCUAGGUUAUGGGGUGAAUUGUGUCCCACCCCCACCGACCGCUAAUGUGGAAAUUCUAAUCCCUGUACCUCAAAAUGUACUUGGAGACGAGCCCUUCAAAGUGGUGAUUAGGGUAAAAUGAGGUCACAUGGGUCAGCUUAAUCCAGUAUAACUGGUGUCCAUGUAAGAGAUUAGGACACAGAUGCCCACGAAGGGAAGACCACAUGAAGACAAUGGUAGAAAAUGGCCAUCCACAUGCCGAGGACAGAAAACCUUUAGAAGAAACAGACUUGCCGAUACUUUGAUCGUGGACUUGUAGCCUCCAGCCUUUGAGGGCAUGUGUUUCGGCUAGUUAAGCUGCCCAGGCUGCUGCGGGGCCUUGUUACGGCCGUGAGGGCACUCGGGUACAUCCUAGUUCUCAGUGGCCCCUCCUCUGGCUCUCUGGCCCUUCUGUGAACCACUGGUCUCAGGUAAGUCUUUGCCCCCAAGCUCUGGCCUCUCCUGCAUUCUCUUCCAGAGUGGUUCCAUUUGCCCUCCCCGUUUCAGCAGCCAUCCCUUUGGGCAUGAUGCCCAGAUGGCUCCAGUGCCACAACCAUGGCUUCUAUGUAUCCACUUGGACAUUGUUAGUAUCUCAAGUGCGACGUGAAUAAAACCAAGCAUAUUUUGUCCCACCAA